GACGAACGCUGGCGGCGUGCCUAAUACAUGCAAGUUGAGCGCUGAAGGUUGGUUCUUGUACCAACUGGAUGAGCAGCGAACGGGUGAGUAACGCGUGGGGAAUCUGCCUUUGAGCGGGGGACAACAUGUGGAAACGAAUGCUAAUACCGCAUAAAAACUUUAAACACAAGUUUUAAGUUUGAAAGAUGCAAUUGCAUCACUCAAAGAUGAUCCCGCGUUGUAUUAGCUAGUUGGUGAGGUAAAGGCUCACCAAGGCGAUGAUACAUAGCCGACCUGAGAGGGUGAUCGGCCACAUUGAGACUGAGACACGGCCCAUACUCAUACGGGAGGCAGCAGUAGGGAAACUUCGGCAAUGGACGAAAGUCUGACCGAGCAACGCCGCGUGAGUGAAGAAGGUUGUCGGAUCGUAAAACUCUGUUGGUAGAGAAGAACGUUGGUGAGAGUGGAACGCUCAUCAAGUGACGGUAACUACCCAGAAAGCGACGGCUAACUACGUG
rnacentral:rRNA from 1 species